rnacentral:rRNA from 1 species
GAUGAACGCUGGCGGCGUGCCUAAUACAUGCAAGUCGAGCGAACAGACGAGGAGCUUGCUCCUCUGACGUUAGCGGCGGACGGGUGAGUAACACGUGGAUAACCUACCUAUAAGACUGGGAUAACUUCGGGAAACCGGAGCUAAUACCGGAUAAUAUAUUGAACCGCAUGGUUCAAUAGUGAAAGACGGUUUUGCUGUCACUUAUAGAUGGAUCCGCGCCGCAUUAGCUAGUUGGUAAGGUAACGGCUUACCAAGGCAACGAUGCGUAGCCGACCUGAGAGGGUGAUCGGCCACACUGGAACUGAGACACGGUCCAGACUCCUACGGGAGGCUGCAGUAGGGAAUCUUCCGCAAUGGGCGAAAGCCUGACGGAGCAACGCCGCGUGAGUGAUGAAGGUCUUCGGAUCGUAAAACUCUGUUAUUAGGGAAGAACAAAUGUGUAAGUAACUAUGCUCGUCUUGACGGUACCUAAUCAGAAAGCCACGGCUAACUACGUG